rnacentral:rRNA from 1 species
AGAGUUUGAUCCUGGCUCAGAUUGAACGCUGGCGGUAUGCUUAACACAUGCAAGUCGAACGGUAACAGGAGAGAGCUUGCUCUCUUGCUGACGAGUGGCGGACGGGUGAGUAACGCGUAGGAAUCUGCCUAGUAGUGGGGGACAACUCGGGGAAACUCGAGCUAAUACCGCAUACGCCCUACGGGGGAAAGCGGGGGAUCUUCGGACCUCGCGCUAUUAGAUGAGCCUGCGUUGGAUUAGCUCGUUGGCGAGGUAAUGGCUCACCAAGGCGACGAUCCAUAGCUGGUCUGAGAGGACGAUCAGCCACACUGGGUCUGAGACACGGCCCAGACUCCUACGGGAGGCAGCAGUGGGGAAUAUUGGACAAUGGGGGCAACCCUGAUCCAGCAAUACCGCGUGUGUGAAGAAGGCCUGCGGGUUGUAAAGCACUUUCAAUUGGGAAGAAAAGCUUGGGGAUAAUACCCCCGAGUCUUGACGUUACCUUUAGAAGAAGCACCGGCUAACUCCGUGCCAGCAGCCGCGGUAAUACGGAGGGUGCAAGCGUUAAUCGGAAUUACUGGGCGUAAAGCGCGCGUAGGUGGUUUAGUAAGUCAGAUGUGAAAGCCCUGGGCUCAACCUGGGAACUGCAUUUGAUACUGCUUGACUAGAGUAUGGUAGAGGGAAGUGGAAUUCCGGGUGUAGCGGUGAAAUGCGUAGAUAUCCGGAGGAACAUCAGUGGCGAAGGCGACUUCCUGGACCAAUACUGACACUGAGGUGCGAAAGCGUGGGUAGCAAACAGGAUUAGAUACCCUGGUAGUCCACGCCGUAAACGAUGUCAACUAGCCGUUGGACUCAUUAUAAGGGUUUAGUGGCGAAGCUAACGCGAUAAGUUGACCGCCUGGGGAGUACGGCCGCAAGGUUAAAACUCAAAGGAAUUGACGGGGGCCCGCACAAGCGGUGGAGCAUGUGGUUUAAUUCGAUGCAACGCGAAGAACCUUACCAGCCCUUGACAUCCUCGGAACUUACUAGAGAUAGUUUGGUGCCUUCGGGAGCCGAGUGACAGGUGCUGCAUGGCUGUCGUCAGCUCGUGUCGUGGGAUGUUGGGUUAAGUCCCGUAACGAGCGCAACCCUUGUCCUUAGUUGCCAGCACAUAAUGGUGGGAACUCUAGGGAGACUGCCGGUGACAAACCGGAGGAAGGUGGGGAUGACGUCAAGUCAUCAUGGCCCUUAUGGGCUGGGCUACACACGUGCUACAAUGGCCGGUACAGAGGGCAGCCAACCCGCGAGGGGGAGCCAAUCUCAGAAAACCGGUCGUAGUCCGGAUUGCAGUCUGCAACUCGACUGCAUGAAGUCGGAAUCGCUAGUAAUCGCGAAUCAGCAUGUCGCGGUGAAUACGUUCCCGGGCCUUGUACACACCGCCCGUCACACCAUGGGAGUGGGUUGCAAAAGAAGUAGGUAGCUUAACCUUCGGGAGGGCGCUUACCACUUUGUGAUUCAUGACUGGGGUGAAGUCGUAACAAGGUA